GCCGGAAUAGCUCAGCUGGGAGAGCAACAGACUGAAGUCAGGCGAAAGCAGAGAUCUUCUGGAGGUCCCGUGUUCAAUCCACGGUUCUGGCA